rnacentral:lncRNA from 1 species
UUACUUUCUCCCCAGCGGCCUGACUAUGAGAAACUCAAAAAACAUGAGUUUUGGAUAGAAAGCAAUUAAAUUCCUUCCAAAUUAUAUCCUUUCAAAACAAUAUUAGGGUUCAUUCAAUCUUCCUAUACACAUUAUUCCUCCAAUUGAAACCAUUUUUUUUGUCUCCAUAAACUGUUGAAGAUGUUAAUAAAGAGAAAUUGUGUUUCUACCGCUG